CAAGUAGGCGGUUGUACAAGUCAUGUGUUAAAGCCCCUGGCUCAACUGGGGGAGGUCAUGUGAGACUGUACGACUUGAGGGCAACAGAGGCAUGUGGAACUCCCGGUGUAGCGGUGGAAUGCGUAGAGAUCGGGAAGAACACCCGUGGCGAAGGCGGCAUGCUGGGUUGCGACUGACGCUGAGUUGCGAAAGUGUGGGGAGCAAACG
rnacentral:rRNA from 1 species